ensembl:lncRNA
CAGUUAGUCUCUCUUCCUGUCACACACUACGUCACUAAUUGGGGAAUGGAAUACGAUUGAUUAGGCUACCUGACGUAUUACCCACAGGCUAUGUAUAGACACCUGGGGUCCUAAAGCCGGUAGCUUGUUGUCAACACCACUGGUUCUAGGGCUGUGUAGCAGAGUCACGGGUGCUGCGUGAAAGCAACAGGUAUGUCUGAGCAAAGGUUUAUUUAAGUUCUUCCGUCACUGAUGAAUAGCUUGCUAAGUGGCUACUUGUUUUAACAAUUGUAUAGGAGGGCGAGCCGCUGUAUGUUGAUGUGCAUGUGGGAGAAUGACGCCGUGUUGUUGUGCGUAACAAGUGUCUGCUGGGCACUGUUACCGUAGCAGUGAGGGGAGUUGUUCUCAGGAAGCCAUCAGCUACAGUGUUCGUAGCCUUGUUGAAAAGUGAUAGACCCUCGCAGCUACACAGGGAUGCUAGUUGCUGUUCUCUUUUAAUGUGUGUUUGAUGCAUUGGUGCCGCUUAUAGUUUGUUUACUUUUCUUUUUUUGUUCCUCUAGCCUAUCGGCCUAAGUAGCUUGUGUAGGUACCACCUAUUUAAUGUGAGCCGCAGGCUAGAGUGGAUUUAUUUUGUUUGUUAUUUUUCUUGUUUACUGUACUUCCAGUUUGUGUGUCUCCCUCCCCCCUCCACAGCUAAUAGCCUCGGUGCUUAUGUGACAGUGGCGAGGUAAUUUGCUAGGAUAGUUUUAAUUGUCGACUACGCCACCUAGGUAGUCACCCUAGGACAGAUAUAGACUCAGUGUUCCUUUAGUUCUAACAAGGCAAACACAAGUUCGUACCACUCUUAGGCCAGAGACAUGGGUUCCAUAAAUACAGUUU